rnacentral:rRNA from 2 species
UGGGGAAUCUUGGACAAUGGGGGCAACCCUGAUCCAGCAAUGCCGCGUGUGGGAUGAAGGCCUUCGGGUUGUAAACCACUUUUGGCGGGGGCGAAAUAUCGAGUGCUAAUACCAUUCGGUGAUGACGGUACCCGCAGAAUAAGCACCGGCUAACUACGUGCCAGCAGCCGCGGUAAUACGUAGGGUGCAAGCGUUAAUCGGAAUUACUGGGCGUAAAGCGUGCGCAGGCGGUUAAGUAAGACAGAUGUGAAAUUCCCGGGCUCAACCUGGGAACUGCAUUUGUGACUGCCUGACUAGAGUGCGGCAGAGGGGAGUGGAAUUCCGCGUGUAGCAGUGAAAUGCGUAGAUAUGCGGAGGAACACCGAUGGCGAAGGCAACUCCCUGGGCCUGCACUGACGCUCAUGCACGAAAGCGUGGGGAGCAAACAGG